rnacentral:rRNA from 1 species
UACGUAGGGUGCGAGCGUUAAUCGGAAUUACUGGGCGUAAAGCGCGCGUAGGCGGCUUUGCAAGUCGGGUGUGAAAUCCCCAGGCUUAACCUGGGAACUGCAUUCGAGACUGCAUUGCUAGAGUAUGGGAGAGGGAAGUGAAAUUUCCGGUGUAGCGGUGAAAUGCGUAGAUAUCGGAAGGAACAUCAGUGGCGAAAGCGACUUCCUGGACCAAUACUGACGCUCAUGUGCGAAAGCGUGGGGAGCAAACAGG